UAUCAUCUCUAUAUAAUGUGAUCUUUUGAAUCUACAUUAAAAAGACAAACACAUCUGUAGAGAAAAAUGAGAAAAGAACAUGAGUUGGGUAUUUCAUUAGAGAGAAAAUCCAGUGGGCAGUAAGCAUAUGAGCAAAUGUUUUACCUCAUUAAUAAUCAAAUAAAUAGGCUGGGCAUGGUGAGUCACACCUGAAAUCCACGCACUUUGGGAGGCUGGUCUCGAACUCCUGACCUCAGGUGAUCCACCCACCUCAGCCUCCCAAAGUGCUGGGUUACAGUCAUGAGGCACUGUGCCUGCCCUACUUUUUUAUAAUAAAAAAUUAUAAAUAACAUAUUUUAGAGCCAGGAGUGGUAGCUCAUGGGUAUAAUCCCAGCAACUCAGGACAAUGAGUUGGGAGUAUCAUCUGAGACCAGUUCUAGACCAGCCUGGGCAACUUAGUUAGACUCCAUCUGUA
rnacentral:lncRNA from 10 species